rnacentral:tRNA from 1 species
GCAGAUGUAGCAUAAUUGGUUAAUGCACCUCCUUGCCAAGGAGGAUAUUGCGCGUUCGAGUCGCGUCAUCUGCU